rnacentral:sRNA from 1 species
GCUGGAUGUGGUGGUGCACACCUGUAAUCACAGUAGCUCGGGAGGCUGAGACAGGAGGAUCACAAGUUCAAAGCCAGGCUCAGCAACUUUGGGAGAGUUUGGGCAACUCAGGGAGACCCUGUCUCAG